GAGGGCUGCCUCGGGCACCCUCUGUGCCCACAGCGUGCAUGGCCGGCAGGGUGCGAGGGACUGCAGCAGGCAGAGGAGAGGCAGGAGGACUCAGUACAGUGGGACCUGUCCAUCUCGUGAUGCACAGAACUUUUUUCCAUGCUGCUGUGUGGGUGGUUGUAGCAGGGAGAAGUGCUGGUUGGAAUCCCUGAGCUUCUAAUGCUGACAAAAUGCACUGCUGACUAAAAUCUCCUGCGUGUGAGUCUUGUCCCUUCCACCACAAAGGACUGGUCACAUUUUCCAUUCUUGACUCCAUGUGGCUGCUCUGAACAUCCCAGGUUAUGUCUGCACCCACCAGCUGCCUUUCCUACUGCUUGGCUCUCCAGGCCUUCAUCUCUGCUCAGUUCC
rnacentral:lncRNA from 1 species